UUACGUAGGGGUGCAAGCGUUAAUCGGAAUUACUGGGCGUAAAGCGCACGUAGGCGGCUUGGUAUGUCGGGUGUGAAAUCCCCGGGCUCAACCUGGGAACUGCAUCCGAAACUGCCUUGCUAGAGUAUGGGAGAGGGAAGUGGAAUUUCCGGUGUAGCGGUGAAAUGCGUAGAUAUCGGAAGGAACAUCAGUGGCGAAGGCGACUUCCUGGACCAAUACUGACGCUCAGGUGCGAAAGCGU
rnacentral:rRNA from 1 species